GGCAUAUGGGAAUGUGCAGAUAUUAUCUAAAGUGAAGUACAUUUCAACUGUCUUAAUAUCCCAUAGGUAUUUCCCCGUGAUGUAAUUUAUUCAGGAAGAGUUAGCUACAGAAUAAACUCCUACUCCCGACAAGAUAACAGGAAACUGGCGACAGUCUGUCUUCACCCAGAUCCCCGAGAGACGCCCUCUUGGUCAGGCUAACAGACAAGAAAGAGAGGCGACAAGCGGCGAUUCGUGGCUGCGUUUCCCCCUCGCCUCCUCCAGCAGCGUCAGCAUCGGCCACGUGGUUGAGGAACUUCAACACUCCCCGCCGCCUUGCACCGUCGCCGCUGCCUCCCGCCGCCACUGUUGUGAUUUAAAGAUCCAGAAGGAGGAAGCACGGACAAGAUACAGUUGCAGCCCUAGAUAAACAGUUUCAUUUAAUCGAGUUUCUAAAUUGCAUCAUUCCUUGCCUUAAACGGCCUUUGUGCAGUUGCGUUCAACACGGCGCUGGUCGUGUGAACGCAACCUGAAUUCUGAAAUCAAAGAAUACAUACCGAGAUAAUUUUUUAGAAAUUACUUAUUUUUCUUUAGAUUGGUGAUAGUGAAGGAAAAUAUAUCAAAGAAGUGAUUUUGAUAUGAUUGUUUAGUGAAUUUAGAAAUAAGGAAAAGGAAGAGCGAUUCUGAGCUUUCGCUGAUUAUAUGGAAUGAAGAUAACGUAGUUUAACGAUCGGGAAUAUUGCUGUUCGUUAAGCCCCCAGCACAGCGCGGAAACUCCAUCUCUCGGGCCAACAUAUAGAUACACACUCUCACUGCGAAACAAAAUUUAUCCAUCAGCUUUAAACAGGAAAAUCAGAGGCGUAAAGGUGAAAUGCACAGCUGAAAAAUAGAUCAGAAGUGGAGAUCGGCUGAACAUACAGGCCCGAUAGCCGACAGGAGUGAGAAAGAAAGAAAGAGAGAGAGAAGGGGAAAAAAAGGAGAAAGUUGAUAGAAAUAAAAGGGAAAGAGAAAGAGAGAUAUAAAGACCACAUCUAGACAAAGGAAGACAAGACCUCGAAACACAAGCCCAGCAUAAAUAUAUGUAUAAAGGGGGCUAAGUUGUCCUCAUUUGACCUCCCGCAGCCGACCGAGGAUGCCAUCGCGUGAGGCCAGAGCAGCUGGGUCCCUCCGCCUCCUCUUCCUCCUCCUCGCAGCAGCAGGAGGCAGUUACGCUGGGCUUCCGGGUCCGAACUUCGUGGAUCACAUCGAGAACGUGACGGAGACGGCAGGGAGCAAUGCCGUUCUCACCUGCACCGUGG